rnacentral:tRNA from 1 species
AGAGAACUCGUUUCUCUCCCUCUUUCUUCGGAAAGAUGGUUCUUACUAUUUCUCCUUACUUCAUAUUCCCAGAAAAGCUCAGUAUGUGCUUACAUUCUGGCUCGGACUGGAAUUAUAGUCCCGUAGCUCAGUUGGUUAGAGCACUACACUGAUAAUGUAGGGGUCCGCAGUUCAAAUCUGCGCGGGACUACUCUAUGCUUUUUUUGGGGGAUUAGCUCAGCUGGCUAGAGCGCCUGCCUUGCACGCAGGAGGUCAUCGGUUCGACUCCGAUAUUCUCCACUAUCUCAAUAGUUUCUGAUGUGAUAUUAGUUACUGGGAAAAGUUCUUUGACAUUUUGAUGAAAAAUAAACUGAGAAUUAACUCAUUAUAAAAUAAUUCUGUAAAGAGUUAUUGU